CCUACGGGAGGCUGCAGUGGGGAAUAUUGCACAAUGGGGGAAACCCUGAUGCAGCGACGCCGCGUGAGUUAAGAAGUAUCUCGGUACGUAAAGCUCUAUCAGCAGGGAAGAAAAUGACGGUACCUGACUAAUAAGCCCCGGCUAACUACGUGCCAGCAGCCGCGGUAAUACGUAGGGGUCAAGCGUUAGCCGGAUUUACUGGGUGUAAAGGGAGCGUAGACGGCAGCACCAGUCUGGAGUGAAAUCCCUGGGCUUAACCCCGGCACUGCAUUGGAAACUGUGCGGCUUGAGUGCAGGAGGGGUAAGCGGAAUUCCUAGUGUAGCGGUGAAAUGCGUAGAUAUUAGGAGGAACACCGGUGGCGAAGGCGGCUUACUGGACUGUAACUGACGUUGAGGCUCGAAAGCGUGGGGAGCAAACAGGAUUAGAUACCCGUGUAGUC
rnacentral:rRNA from 1 species